UACAGAGGUCUCAAGCGUUGUUCGGAAUCACUGGGCGUAAAGGGUGCGUAGGCCGCAUGGUAAGUCAGGUGUGAAAGCCCGGAGCUCAACUCCGGAACUGCACCCGAUACUGCCGUGCUUGAGGACUGGAGAGGAGUCUGGAAUUCACAGUGGAGCAGUGAAAUGCGUAGAUAUUGUGAGGAACACUAGUGGCGAAGGCGAGACUCUGGACAGUUCCUGACGCUGAGGCACGAAGGCCAGGGGAGCAAAC
rnacentral:rRNA from 1 species